AGAAUUUUAUGAAUUAAAAAUUGAAAUCUCAUAUUUAAGACUUUUUUCUAUCUUUUACACAUUCUUGUUUUUAGAUUUGCAUGAUAGAAAUAUUCAAGAUUGAUUGGUCAUCAAACUUUUGGAGUGUUUCUUCCUUGAAGUGAAUGGGCUUGUGAAUAGUGCUUAGGCAUUCAAGUUGUCUUGCUUCUUGGUUUGACCAUCUAUCUUUCUCGUUUUUUAUUUCUCAUCAUUUGCUAUCAAAGCUUUAAGUUCUGGAUCAGGUAUAUGUUUCUGUUAUUGUUGUUCAUUUCUUAUAUUUCAUUCUGAAAAUUUCUUGUUCAUCUGGUUCUUCUCGUGUCAUUAUGUCCAAAAACAUAAAUUAACAAAAAAAAAAUGUCCUUUACGUUAUCUUUUCGUUUUGUUGUCUUCUUCAUUAUUGUAGAACACAUUCUUAUCUACAAUUUUUCCUUCUAUAAUAUCUUCUAAUUCGAUCUACUUCGUUGGAAAAAAAUCUUCUUUUUGUUAAUAAAUUCUAGCAAAACUGGAAAAAAAUUGUCAUUUACAUUGUUUUUUUUUCUUUGUUAUUAUCUUUUAAUUUCACCUUGAUCUCAAGAGCAUGUUUUUUAAGGGCAGAAUCAUCAUGAUACCUACAAUGGUGAUUCCCAAUUUUGGAAAACUUUACGGGAUGAUCUGGCUAAGAUACAUCAAUCUGUUAAUUACAUGUAUGUAUUGAAUUAAGAAAUGAAGUUUCAAUAGCAAGCCAAGAAGAAUCAAGCGAGACAAUCUGUUUAAGAGGAUGGUUGUCCCAAGCAUAAAGAUUAUGUUUCAAAAGACGUCAUCACUAACUCUUCUCGCAAUAGUUUAACUGAGUUAAAUCAAUCCAUUGAUUUCUUAUCUAAAUUGACUUGAGAGAUGAAGUUUCAUGGGCAAUCCAUGACGAUUCAAGCAACACGAUCUAUUCAAGAGGAUGGUUGUCCCAAGCCUAAAGAUGAUGAUUCAAAAGACGUCAUUAUUGUCGAUGUGUCAACCAACAAAGAAGAUGUUGACGUAUAUGUUGAUAAAAGUCAAGUCAAGACACAACACGACAAAAGGAGCGUAUCAUUCUGCGCAUGAAGUUCAUACUUAAUUCAAGUGAAGAUGUUUCAAUCCAAGUGUUUAAUCAAGCUCGAGCGAAUGACUAAAAGAUUACUUUUCAAGGCGAGGGAGAUGUGAAUUACUUUUUCAAUGCUGCUGAAUUUCUUCCAUUUAAUGUAGGAUACUUUCAGAUUCAAUGACGAAUCCUUUUGAAGAGGGGGAAAACAAUAUGGAUUGAGACCUAUAAGUUGCAUUAGUAAACUUUAAUAUUGUUUUUAAUUAAUUUCUAGCAUUUAAAUUUUAGAGUUUAGGUGUCUUUAAUUAAUCUCUAGCUAAGUGUUAAAUUUUAUGAGUAGUCAAAUAUAGAGGCUACCAUUGGUGAUGUUACAUUAAAGAUGGUGAUUGGAAGAUGGAGGGUAGGAAGGAAUUUAAUGCUUUAUUUUGACUUUUGUUUAUUUAUAUUAAAUAGAUUAGAAUCUCUACAAGGCUAUAUAAAAUCUUCUAUCCUUCAUUUGUAAUUAGAAU